rnacentral:rRNA from 1 species
GCUUUAUAUUUAUAUUUUAUUUUAAAAAAUAAAUUUAAUUAUAAAUUUAGAAUAUUUUAAUUAGUUGGGGCGACGUGUGAAUAAUUUUUUUAACUUCAUAUAUUUUAAAACAUUUAUUUAUGAGAUUGUUAAUAGAUCUUUAUUAAGGAUUAAAGGCAGAGUU